UACGUAGGGUGCGAGCGUUGUCCGGAAUCAUUGGGCGUAAAGGGCGUGUAGGCGGCCAUGUAGGUCAGUUGUGAAAACUCGAGGCUCAACCUCGAGACGCCGAUGGAAACCAUGUGGCUAGAGUCCGGAAGAGGAGAGUGGAAUUCCUGGUGUAGCGGUGAAAUGCGCAGAUAUCAGGAGGAACACCGGUGGCGAAGGCGGAUCUCUGGGCCAUUACUGACGCUGAGGAGCGAAAGCGUGGGGAGCGAACAGG
rnacentral:rRNA from 1 species